GUUUGACGCUCCACAACAAGAGGUGUCGUCUGACGAACAUGAAGCUGUCGUUGAUUUUUGUCGUACUUCUCGGUGUUUUCCUCGUGUGCUCGGAAGCUCAUCGACACUGGGGGCGUCAUCGUGGGGGCUAUAGAGGCUGGGGACGCCAUAGAGGCUGGGGACGCCAUAGAGGCUGGGUACGCCAUCGAGGCUGGGUACACCAUCGAGGCGGGCGCUAUAAUAAUGGCUAUGCACAAUGCCAGAAGAGAGUUAACCAUCUGCAAAGGCAACUGCAUAAUUUGAGCAACCUGAUAAAUAGAUAUCUGGCAGCAGUAACAGCACCGACCACAAUGGCAACAACCACAUAGAAGACGUAAAUAAUGUGGC